AGCAGCCGCGGUAAUUCCAGCUCCAAUAGCGUAUAUUAAAGUUGUUGCAGUUAAAAAGCUCGUAGUUGAAUUUCGGGGUUAGUAGGUUGGUCGUGCCACUGGUACGUACUGGUCUCACUGACUCCUCCUUCCUGAUGAACUGUAAUGCCAUUAAUUCGGUGUUGCAGGGAACUGGACUGUUACUUUGAAAAAUUGAGUGUUUAAAGCAAGCUAACGCUUGAAUACAUUAGCAUGGAAUAAUGAAAUAGGACGUUCGAUCCUAUUUUGUUGGUUUCUAGGAUUGACGUAAUGAUUAAUAGGGAUAGGUGGGGCAUUAGUAUUCAAUUGU
rnacentral:rRNA from 1 species